rnacentral:rRNA from 1 species
UACAGGGGGUGCAAACGUUGCUCGGAAUCAUUGGGCGUAAAGCGCACGUAGGCGGUUCGUUAUGUCGGAUGUGAAAGCCCUUGGCUUAACCGAGGAAGUGCAUCCGAAACUGGCGAGCUAGAGUACGAAAGAGGAUCGCGGAAUUCCCGGUGUAGAGGUGAAAUUCGUAGAUAUCGGGAGGAACACCGGUGGCGAAGGCGGCGAUCUGGGUCGAUACUGACACUGAGGUGCGAAAGCGUGGGGAGCAAACAGG